GGAAGAAAGUGGAGCAUCCAUUGCUGUGUGGUCAAAAAUAAUGUAACUGGAAAUAUGUACCAUCCCCUAAUAGCAAGAUGUUCACCAAGAGAAAAUUUGGCUCAUUAUGGCAAUCUCACUAUAAUGAGUGUGGCAUUAAUGAGGCCAUUGCAGGGACAAUGCAAAGUGGGAAAAUGUGGGCCCAAACAAAUUGUUUUUCAUCAGCGUUGUCCUAUUCUAGUACUUUGGAGUCUCUUAAAUGAAGCACCUCAAGUGGGCCUCUUUAACCAGGAAGAAGUGUGCAAUUGAGAAAACUCUUAUUUCUUCUUCUGACCUUGAUGUUUUUGCACACAAUCAGAAUGGCCAUAUACUUUGAAGCAGACUUUUAUAAAUCUCAACCUAAUUUUGCCAUAUUAUGGAUACAGGUUGUGCAGGAAGAAGAAGGCAUGCAUAACAAAGAAUACAGAAGAAUACAUACCCUACUGGAGAACCUAGAAAAGAAGGUAUAUCAAGUGACCGUGGUUAAUUUUAGUGACUUGAACUUAAUGUUACAUCUAAGAAUCCAUAUCCAAAACCAUAGUCUGGUGCCACAUGCUCACUAAAGGUCCUGCCGCAUAAGUAAAUUGAAUCACAAAUUGAAUCAAAUUGGGUUUCCUCUGCCUAUAUCAGCUGGAGAUAAACCAGAGUGAGAAGAUUUACAGCUUUCCUGUUUGUCUACAUCACACCACCGAGCACAAGGAGCAUUGGCCAAGGGAGAGAACCAGGUGUAGCCAAUGAAAAGCAUGUAGUACAGAAGGUCAAGUUUCUUUUUGCUAAAAUGUUGUAAUCCUAUAUACAGGCAGUCCCCAAGUUAUGAACAAAAUGGGUUCUGUAAGUUUGUUCUUAAGUUUAAUUUGUUUGUAAGUUAGAACAGGUACAGUUUUAUAGUGUAAUCCCAGCCGUGUGUGUGUGUGUGUGUGUGUGUGUGUGUGUGUGUGUUUUGGAUAACAUAGGGAAGGGUUAACACCUCUGUGGUGUUUGUUUUGCUGUCUGUGCCACUCUUCAGACAAUUUCACCUCCCUUUCUGUCCCUGUGAUAAUUAGAUUAGAACUGACCUUAUGGAGAAGAUUGAUAGACAGAGUAAAAGGAAAAGGGAAAUACAAAAAACGGAACCAUACGUUCUCCACAAUAGAUCAACUGAAAUAAUAUUUGAAUGAAAAAAGUAUUGUUCCCAGAGGGUGGGAGGAGAGGGGGUAGGGAGGGGAGUAAUAUUGUUAGACACUUGUGGAAGAGAAAUUUGGAGUUGGCAAUGUUGAGAAAAUUGAAUGAAUUAUACACUGUGUGUACUAUGAAAUGGUUGCUGAAAUCAACAUUAUUUUACCUCUGUCAAGAAAUAUAUAUAUAUAUAUAUAUAUAUAUAUAUAUAUAUAUAUACACACACACACACACACACACACACACACACAUACAUACACACACACACACACACACACACACACAUACAUACAUACAAAACCUGAGGUCUGGAGAUUAAGUUCGAAGCUCAGUGACACAGAGCCAGUCCCUGAAAUAUGGCACCCCUAAUUGCAGCAGAUGAUACUUGGGGCAUACCCAUCUUUUCUUGGGAAACAUGAAGUCAUGGGCAUAACCCCAAAGAGCUGUUCUCAGCACGGACGUUGCAGUCUGCCAGCACAAUAGGCUGGAGAACUCUAAUAUAACCACCAGGAUCACAUCAGUUGAGCAGCAGAGUGAAUUUAUUUAUUUAUUUAUUUAUUUAUUUAUUUAUUUGCAGUAUUUAUAUCCCGCCCGUCUCACCCCGAAGGGGACUCAGGGCAGAUCACAUUAUGUACAUAUAGGGCAAAUAUUCAAUGCCCAUUUACACAUAGAACUGAGACAGAGAAAGACACAGAGGCAAUUUAACCUUCUCCAGUGGGGAUGUUCGAUUCUGGCCACAGGGGGGAGCAGCUGCUUCAUCAUCCACUCUGAUGGCACUUCCUCAUUCCAAUGUCGUAAAUUAGUUAAAUUUGCCUCCCACUUUAUAAGUGGUAUCUUAUUUCCUACUUGAUAGAUGCAACUAUCUUUCGGGUUGCUAGGUCAGCAACGAGCAGGGGCUAUUUUUUAUUUUUUAAUUGACGGGUGCUCAUCCCGCCAUGGGCUGGCCUCGAACUCAUGACCUCAUGGUCAGAGUGAUUUAUUGCAGCAGGCUGUUCACCAGCCUGCGCCACAGCCCGGCCCCUGAAUGACCUCUCCCUGCCCUCUCCCUGCCACUCACCUUCUGUAGGAUGGGUCACCUGGUCAAUGGAAUCCCAAUAGGCCACUGCAACUAUGCCUCCUAUGUCCAAGGCCUUAUGAAUGAAUGAAUGAAUGAAUGAAUGAAUGAAUGAAUGAAUGAAACUUAAUUUAUAGCUCGCCCUAUCUCCCAGGAGGAGAUAGGGUGGCUUAAAACAAAAUACACAGUGGCAAACAUUCAAUGCUAAAAUUAAUAAAUAACUAAAUCAAAAACAACUCAUUAAAUUAUAAAACAACUUAAAUAAACAAGACAUAACACACUAAACAUAAUUACAAAUAUAUUAAGUCAUUAAAAUCGCUAAAAUUCGACUGAAAAUUGUUGGAGGGGAGGUGCACAGAGCAGCCUGAAGUCAGAGCUGGGAAAGAUUAAUCCACCACCAUCUGGCCACAUCCAAUCAGGUCAAUGUAAUCCAAGUCUGGUUGGGAUGAUCAUCCAGGACUGAGUUCUGGUUUGUGGGGAUUUUCCCAUUCAUUGAUCUAGCAUUGAAAUACAGGGUCAAAUAUGAAUGAAGGCACUCAUUUGUGGCACUCAUUUGUCCAGUCAGCUACAGAUGAUCUUCGACACAUUUAUAUUGGUAUCCCUGUCAUUUGGUGGGCCCUUCACUGGUUCUUUGAUAAUUUUAGAAAAAAGACAUCACAUUGGCUUAAAUGUUCUUAAGUGAAAAAGGUAUUCAGGAAUAACCCACAACGCCUUCCCCAAUGCACUCAUUUGUUUGUUUUAUCUGGCAAUACUUUUAAUUUUUUUAUAUAGUUCUGUUGAUCGUGUCAUAACACCAUCCACAAAGAACUAGAGCAUUUUUUUUUUGCAAAUUUCUUCCAUGUCUAUUAAACUGGUUGCUUGGGAACAUGAAAGUGUAUUUCCCCAAACAAUUGGGAACAGCUAUAUCAUCAUCAUAUUAAUAUUUUCAAUUGACCUGAUUAACCACCAUUCAUUUGUAAAACAAUUUUUUAUUAAAGAGUUACAUAUAAAGUACAAAUUAUAUUUUAAAAGAAUAUCAAGCAAAAGCAAAGAAAAAUAUACAGAAAAAGGAACAGCAAAGAAUAAGAGAGAAGUAAAAAAGCUUAUAUACAUUUGACUUUCAAUCUUCCUAAUUAUGAUUAUUCAAGUCAAAGUAAAAUAGCUUGUUCGUUUUUUAAGAUACUUUGAAGAUGAUUACCAUUAAUGCAUUUCUACAGCUUAAAUCAAUGUACUAAUCUACAAAUCAUCAAAACCUACACAUUGUUUUUUUUUCUGUGCAAAAAAAAGUUAAGCUUUUCAGUCUUUCAGAAAGGUUGUCAAUGAUUUUUCUCUAAUCAAACUUGUUAAUUUGGCCAUUUCAAAUAUGUUUGACAGUUUCAACAGCCAUUCUUGAUUUAUUGGUAUAGUUUAUGUUUUACCACUUCUGUGCCUACUGUAGACUUGUUGCUGUGGUCAUGUGUUGCUGUAAUUUCCCAUAUUUAUUCUCUAUUUAUUCUUUUGCUGACCCAACAAAUACAUUUCAGCUCUCCUUUGAAAA